UGUGGGAGCUGGCUUGCCUGCGAUGGCGGUGGGUCAGUGUUUAAUGCAGUGACUGAAACGCCGCUAUCGCAGGCAAGCCAGCUCCCACA
rnacentral:misc_RNA from 1 species